GUGGGGAAUAUUGCACAAUGGGGGAAACCCUGAUGCAGCGACGCCGCGUGAAGGAAGAAGUAUUUCGGUAUGUAAACUUCUAUCAGCAGGGAAGAAAAUGACGGUACCUGACUAAGAAGCCCCGGCUAACUACGUGCCAGCAGCCGCGGUAAUACGUAGGGGGCAAGCGUUAUCCGGAUUUACUGGGUGUAAAGGGAGCGUAGGCGGUCUGACAAGUCAGAAGUGAAAGCCCGGGGCUCAACUCCGGGACUGCUUUUGAAACUGCCGGACUAGAUUGCAGGAGAGGUAAGUGGAAUUCCUAGUGUAGCGGUGAAAUGCGUAGAUAUUAGGAGGAACACCAGUGGCGAAGGCGGCUUACUGGACUGUAAAUGACGCUGAGGCUCGAAAGCGUGGGGAGCAAACAGGAUUAGAAACCCCUGUAGUCC
rnacentral:rRNA from 1 species